GGCUCAUUAGCUCAGUUGGUUAGAGUGUUGUAUUAUAAAUCUGAAAGUCACAGGUUUGAUUCUUGCUUGGACCA
rfam:Glycine max cultivar Williams 82 chromosome 2, whole genome shotgun sequence.